rnacentral:rRNA from 1 species
AUUGAACGCUGGCGGCAGGCCUAACACAUGCAAGUCGAGCGGCGCGGCGGCCGGGGGCGUAAUGCCUAGGAAUCUGCCUGGUCGUGGGGGAUAACGUCCGGAACCGGGCGCUAAUACUGCUUACUUUCAGUUUAGCCUAGGUCGGAUUAGCUUGUUGGUGGGGUAAAGGCCUACCAAGGCGACGAUCCGUAACUGGGCUGAGAGGAUGAUCAGUCACACUGGAACUGAGACACGGGCCAGACUCCUACGGGAGGCAGCAGUGGGGAAUAUUGGACAAUGGGCGAAAGCCUGAUGCAGCCAUGCCGCGUGUGUGAAGAAGGUCUUCGGGUUGUAAAGCACUUUAAGUUGGGAGGCGUUACCAGCAGAAUAAGCACCGGCUAACUCCGUGCCAGCAGCCGCGGUAAUAC